GACGAACGCUGGCGGCGUGCCUAAUACAUGCAAGUCGAGCGGAUUGAUGGGAGCUUGCUCCCUGAUAUCGGCGGCGGACGGGUGAGUAACACGUGGGCAACCUGCCUAUAAGACUGGGAUAACUUCGGGAAACCGGAGCUAAUACCGGAUAAUCCCUUUCCUCUCAUUAGGAAAGGCUGAAAGAUGGUUUAUGCUAUCACUUAUAGAUGGGCCCGCGGCGCAUUAGCUAGUUGGUGAGGUAACGGCUCACCAAGGCAACGAUGCGUAGCGGACCUGAGAGGGUGAGCGGCCGCACUGAGAGGGAGACGCGGCCCAGACUCAUACGUGAGGCAGCGGUAGGGAAUCUUCCGCAAUGGACGAAAGUCUGACGUGGCAACGCCGCGUGAGUGAUGAAGGUUUUCGGAUCGUAAAACUCUGUUGUUAGGGAAGAACAAGUACGAGAGUAACUGCUCGUACCUUGACGGUACCUAACCAGAAAGCCACGGCUAACUACGUGCCAGCCGCCGCAGUAA
rnacentral:rRNA from 1 species